GCGGAGGGCUGGUGGGGAGAGAGGAGCCAGAGGGACCCGGAGCCCGGCGCCCGCCCGGCAUGGAGCUGUGAGCGAGGCUGUCUGUGGGCCCGGGGCCCCGCCAUGGCCGGGAAGGACGGCGGGAACCUGAAGACGGUGCGGCUGUGGCGGGACGCCGCCCUGCGCGCCAGGAAGCUGCGGAGCAACCUGCGCCAGCUCACCCUUAGCUGCCCGGGGGUCGGGGCCGAUCCGAUCGACGACUCCCCCGACAGCUCCCCCCCGCAGCUCGUGCUGCCGGCCAACCUCGGGGACGUUGAGGUGCUGAACCUGGGGAACAACGGCCUGGAGGAGGUGCCCGAGGGGCUGGGCUCGGCGCUGGGCAGCCUGCGCGUCCUGGUCCUGCGGAGGAACCGCUUUGCCAGGCUGCCCCCGGCGGUGGCCGAGCUGGGCCACCACCUCACCGAGCUGGACGUGAGCCACAACCGGCUGGCGGCCCUGGGCGCCGAGGUGCUGAGCGCCCUGCGCGAGCUGCGCAAGCUGAACCUCAGCCACAACCAGCUGCCCGCCCUGCCCGCCCAGCUGGGCGCGCUGGCCCACCUGGAGGAGCUGGACGUCAGCUUCAACCGCCUGGCGCACCUGCCCGACUCCCUGUCCUGCCUCUGCCGCCUGCGCACCCUGGACGUGGACCACAACCAGCUCACUGCGUUCCCGGGCCAGCUGCUGCAGUUGGCUGCCCUGGAGGAGCUGGACGUGUCCAGCAACCGGCUCCGAGGCCUCCCGGAGGGUAUCAGUGCCCUGCGUGCCCUCAAGAUCCUCUGGCUGAGCGGGGCCGAGCUUGGCACGCUGCCCGAGGGCUUCUGUGAGCUGGCCAGCCUGGAGAGCCUCAUGCUGGACAACAACAGGCUGCAGGCCCUGCCCGCCCAGUUCAGCCGCCUGCAGAGGCUCAAAAUGCUCAACCUGUCCUCCAACCUCUUCGAGGAGUUCCCCGCCGCGCUGCUGCCCCUGGCCGGCCUGGAAGAGCUCUACCUGAGCCGCAACCAGCUCACCUCGGUGCCCUCCCUCAUCUCGGGCCUGGGCCGGCUCCUCACCCUGUGGCUGGACAACAACCGGAUCCGCUACCUGCCGGACGCCAUCGUGGAGCUGACGGGCCUGGAGGAGCUGGUGCUGCAGGGCAACCAGAUCGCCGUGCUGCCCGACAACUUCGGCCAGCUCUCCCGCGUGGGCCUGUGGAAGAUCAAGGACAACCCACUGAUCCAGCCGCCCUACGAGGUCUGCAUGAAGGGGAUCCCCUACAUCGCGGCCUACCAGAAGGAGCUGGCCCACUCCCAGCCGGCCGUGCAGCCGCGCCUCAAGCUGCUCCUCAUGGGCCACAAGGCUGCGGGGAAGACCUUGCUCCGCCACUGCCUCACGGAGGACCGGGUGGAGGCUUCCGGCGAAGGAGGCGACCAGGAGAAGGGCUACUCGCCGCCUCCACCGCCGCCGCCGCCGCCGCCACCUCCCGCGAGCAAGGGCAUCGAGGUGACCAGCUGGACGGCCGACGCCUCCCGGGGCCUGCGGUUCAUUGUGUACGACCUGGCCGGGGACGAGAGUUACGAGGUGAUCCAGCCCUUCUUCCUCUCCCCGGGGGCCCUGUACAUGCUGGUGGUGAACCUGGCCACCUACGAGCCCCCGCGGUUUCCCACCACCGUGGGCUCCUUCCUGCACCGCGUGGGGGCCCGCGUGCCGCACGCCGUGGUGUGCAUCGUGGGCACGCACGCGGACCUGUGCGCGGAGAGGGAGCUGGAGGAGAAGUGCCUGGACAUCCACCGCCAGAUCGCCCUGCAGGAGAAGCGCGACGCCGAGGGCCUGAGCCGCCUGGCCCGGGUGGUGGACGAGGCGCUGGCCCGCGACUUCGAGCUGCGCUCCGCCAGCCCGCACGCGGCUUACUACGGCGUCUCGGACAAGAACCUCCGGCGGCGCAAGGCGCACUUCCAGUACCUGCUCAACCACCGGCUGCAGAUCCUCUCCCCGGUGCUGCCCGUGAGCUGCAGGGACCCCCGCCAGCUGCAGCGCCUCCGGGACAAGCUGCUGUCGGUCGCCGAGCACCGGGAGAUCUUCCCCAACCUGCACCGAGUGCUGCCUCGGUCCUGGCAGGUGCUGGAGGAGCUGCAUUUCCAGCCCCCGCAGGCGCAGCGGCUUUGGCUGAGCUGGUGGGACUCGGCGCGCCUGGGCCUGCAGGCUGGCCUGACGGAGGACCGGCUGCAGAGCGCCCUGUCCUACCUGCACGAGAGCGGCAAGCUGCUCUACUUCGAGGACAGCCCGGCCCUCAAGGAGCACGUCUUCCACAACCUCAGCCGCCUCAUCGACAUCCUCAACGUCUUCUUCCAGAGGGAUCCUUCCCUGCUGCUGCACAAGCUGCUCGCCGGGACCAGCGGAGAGGGCGAGGGAGACGGGGAGAGCUCCCUGGUGAUGGCCGUGCCACCGCCGCCGCCGCCGCAGCUGAGCCAGGACCUGCUCCGGGCCACCCAGCUCCACCAUUACGUGGAGGGCUUCCUGCUUCACGGGCUCCUGCCGGCCCACGCCAUUCGGCUGCUGCUGAAGCCUCACGUCCAGGCCCAGCAGGACCUGCAGCUGCUGCUGGAGCUGCUGGAGAAGAUGGGGCUCUGCUACUGCCUCAACAAACCCAAGGGCAAGCCCCUGAACGGCUCCACCGCCUGGUACAAGUUCCCCUGCUACGUGCAGAACGAGGUGCCCCACGCCGAGGCCUGGAUUAACGGGACCAACCUGGCCGGGCAGUCCUUUGUGGCCGAGCAGUUGCAGAUUGAGUACAGUUUCCCCUUCACCUUCCCGCCGGGGCUGUUUGCACGCUACAGUGUCCAGAUCAACAGCCACGUGGUGCAGAGGUCGGACGGGAAGCUUCAGAUCUUCGCCUACCGAGGGAAGGUCCCUGUGGUGGUGAGCUACAGACCGGCCAAGGGGGCCCUGCAGCCAGAUACCCUGUCCAUCGCCAGCCACGCCUCGUUGCCGAACAUAUGGACGGCAUGGCAAGCCAUCACCCCCUUGGUGGAAGAACUGAACGUCCUGCUUCAGGAAUGGCCUGGACUGCACUACACCGUGCACAUCCUCUGUUCUAAGUGCCUUAAGAGAGGGUCGCCCAAUCCACACGCUUUCCCAGGGGAGCUGCUGAGCCAGCCCAGACCCGAAGGAGUGGCGGAGAUCAUUUGCCCCAAGAACGGCAGUGAGCGAGUGAAUGUUGCCUUGGUUUACCCACCUACGCCGACUGUGAUCAGCCCCUGUUCCAAGUAUCUCCAUCCUUUCUUGGAAAAUUAAGUGGAAAAGAUAGUGCUCCUUUCCCCCAUGCCACCAUUUUUACUGUGCCCACUCUGACUUUAGGAGCACCAGUGUUUAAGGGAAGAACGUUGGUGAAAAGCACAGAAACCAGUGACCUUUAUUGCUGUGGAAUUUCCGUGAAGAGACGCACCCAGACCAUGCUUCGUACCUGGUAACCCUCCACACUCCCAUUGUGUCCUGAACUUGGGGGCAUGGCUCAGGGUGCCCUCAGAGGAGGGAGCACGCCUGGCCUGCAGACAAGCUGGCGGAGGGCUAGGGGAAAGUCGGGGGAGAAAGACUGUGGAGCAAGUGUUUUACAACCUGAACCUCAGAACUGUGAUCCUCCAAGGAGAGCGCUACUUGAAGAAAAGACAAAAAAAAAAAAAAGUCAAAUGGCUUCUCAGGGAUUUUGUUUUCUGUGCACAUAUAAGCCAUAGUUCCAGCGCAGGUGGCAGUAGUUAGAGCACUCAGAUUUCAGUUCUGUCCAGUUGUGACCGAGGGCGCGCCCUACCAUGCAUUGCUGUUCCGUAUAAACUAGUGUAAAAUAUGUACAUGUUUAUCUUUAUUUUUAUAAUAUGCAAAUACAUUUAAAUUUAUACAGUGGGAAGCUUCUAGCAUUAGUUAACACUGGGUGCAAUAUUCGCAUGAGAACUGUGCCAAGAUGGGACUGGCUUCUUAUUUUAGCAAAAGACCUUUCUGUUCAUUCUUUAUUCUGUAAUCCAUUGCAGAUUAAAAAAAAAAAAAAAAAAAAAAAAAGGAAAAAGAUACCUGUCUGCCAUGGGUUAAGGGUUGGUUGGUAGAGAUUGCCAAUGGUCUAUCAGGUACACACAGGCACUGCCUCCUCUCCUUCUAAUGAAAGGUCCUGCCUGUGAGCUGCCACGUGUCACUACUGCCGAGCACAGUGUUCCUCGCUGGCCAUCUAUGGUCAAUGGUGAUUUGGAGGUCUGGGGUCAGGGUUCUUCAGCAGAGGAGGCCGAAGUGUUAGCGAGUCCAUUGAGAACCUGGAUCUUUCUUCAAAAAAUUAAAAAAAAAAUUUUUUUUAAAUUGAUUUCAGAGAGGAAGGGAGAGAGAGAGAAACAUCAUUGAUGCAACAAAAUCACUGAUCUGCUGCCUCCUGCACGCCCUCUACUGGGGAGGAAUCCCGCAACCCAGGCAUGUGCCCUGCUCAGGAAUAGACACAUGACCUCCUGGUUCAUGGGUUGACGCUCAGCCACUGAGCCACCCUGGCAGGGCCUGAGUCUUUCAGUAGCUUUUAAGAUAGUCAGGAGUCAGGUCUGAAACAUGCAGAGACCCCUUGGAGUGAGUGCUCUCUUUUCUGGAACAGCGUCUGUGAAACUGAGCAGAGCACUUGGCAAGCCUCCACAUCUGGCUGUCAGGCCUGCAGAGAGUCAGUGGCCUAAUUGGAGAGCGUAAUCCCCCCAUUGGUUAUUUAUAAACACAGAGCCUCUGAUUGGUCGGUCUCCUGCCAAGAACUAGUAAAACUUGUUUUAAAAUCUCCAGGAAGCAAAACUUAAAAAAAAAAAAAAAAAAAAGCAAACCCAACAAAUUGCUUUCCCUUCGAUUCCUAAUUGAGGCCACGCAGCAUCUGCUGCCGUAGUAACACCUUCUAGUCGGAGGGAUGUGAGGGACCAUUUGCAUCUGCCUCCUCUGCAUGCUGAUCGAAAAUGUGAGAGACUGUUCCCACCAGUGCGAGGCAGGAAAAGUGAAUCAGCUGGUCAUAUUCUUUCAUAAAGUAUUAACUCUUGGAAUGCCACAGGCCACAAAGUCUCAGCAGGCACGCGGCUGCAUCACAGAAAAACCACACGCCAAUUUCUGUGGGCUAUUUUGUGCCCCAGGAGUUAACUUUACCAAUUCCAGAAUCUCUGGUUAAACAAGGGUGAUUUCUUCUGAUCAGAAAACCACGUGGAAUCAGGCUGUUUCUCCGUUUUUAAAUACUUGAAUGUGACCCCUCGAAAUUGAGAUUUUGCUCUCUUUGGAACAGUCACAAAAUCAGUCUGGUUGAGCCUUUUGUCACAGUUCUCGUGCGUGUGCAUGGGCGUGUGUGCGUGUGUAAGUGUCAACCGAAUGCUAAUGUUUAAUUGCUUCAUGGACCAUUGAAUCGUAAAAGUUUCCAAUUGGCACGAGACAGUUCUUAAACUGUCAAAGUGAUGGAUUUUUGUAAAGACUCUUAAGCGUGUGACUUGGAGCUAAUUCUCCAGGGAAUCAUAUUAAAUG